rnacentral:SRP_RNA from 1 species
UCGUGCUAGAUGGGGAGCUAGCGGUGCCCUGUACCCGCAAACCGCUAUAGCGGGAUCGAAUCCCCUUUCGCGGGGCCUGCUCGUUAGUGAAUGACCGGUCAGGCGGCGUGGAAGACUGGGUCCUGCGCGGCGGAGGCCUGCGAACCCCGUCAGGUCCGGAAGGAAGCAGCGGUAAGCAGAUCCCUUCGGGUGACGCGGGGCUGCCUGGUCCGAGCUGGCCGAUCGGUGCGCUCUGGCGAGUGGUCACAACAGAGGGUGCACGG